UACGGGGGGGGCAAGCGUUGUUCGGAAUUACUGGGCGUAAAGGGUUCGUAGGCGGCCAACUAAGUCAGACGUGAAAUCCCUCGGCUUAACCGGGGAACUGCGUCUGAUACUGGAUGGCUUGAAUCCGGGAGAGGGAUGCGGAAUUCCAGGUGUAGCGGUGAAAUGCGUAGAUAUCGGGAGGAACACCGGUGGCGAAGGCGGCAUCCUGGACCGGCAUUGACGCUGAGGAGCGAAAGCCAGGGGAGCAAACGGG
rnacentral:rRNA from 1 species